rnacentral:rRNA from 1 species
AUUGAACGCUGGCGGCAGGCCUAACACAUGCAAGUCGAACGAGUGGCGGACGGGUGAGUAAUGUCUGGGAAACUGCCUGAUGGAGGGGGAUAACUACUGGAAACGGUAGCUAAUACCGCAUACCAUCGGAUGUGCCCAGAUGGGAUUAGCUAGUAGGUGGGGUAAAGGCUCACCUAGGCGACGAUCCCUAGCUGGUCUGAGAGGAUGACCGGCCAAACGGGAACUGAGACACGGUCCAGACUCCUAGGGGGGGAAGCAGUGGGGAAUAUUGCACAAUGGGGGCAAGCCGGAUGAAGCCAUGCCGGGUGUAUGAGGAAGGCCUUCGGGUUGUAAAGUACUUUCAGCGGGAAGGCGUUACCCGCAGAAGAAGCACGGGCUAACUCCGUGCCAGCAGCGGCGGUAAAC